UACGUAGGCAGCAAGCGUUGUUCGGAAUUACUGGGCGUAAAGAGUGUGUAGGCGGUUCUCUAAGUUCCGUGUGAAAUCUCCCGGCUUAACUGGGAGGGUGCGCGGAGAACUGGAGGGCUGGAGUAUGGGAGAGGAAAGCGGAAUUCCUGGUGUAGCGGUGAAAUGCGUAGAUAUCUGGAGGAACACCGGUGGCGAAGGCGGCGUUCUGGACUGCAACUGACACUGAGGAACGAAAGCCAGGGGAGCAAACGGG
rnacentral:rRNA from 1 species